UACAGAGGUCCCGAGCGUUGUUCGGAUUUAUUGGGCGUAAAGCGCACGUAGGCGGCUUAGCAAGUCGGAUGUGAAAUCCCUCGGCUCAACCAAGGAAGUGCAUCCGAAACUGCUGAGCUUGAGUACGAAAGAGGAUCGCGGAAUUCCCGGUGUAGAGGUGAAAUUCGUAGAUAUCGGGAGGAACACCAGUGGCGAAGGCGGCGAUCUGGGUCGAUACUGACGCUGAGGUGCGAAAGCGUGGGGAGCAAACAGG
rnacentral:rRNA from 1 species